GCAUUGCUUUUUUCUAGUAUAAGUAAUUGAUGCUGCUUAUAUCAGGUUCAAGGUGCGGUUUUUGAUCUUCCGGAGGAGAUAGCAAAAGAGUUGCUUAAUAGGCAAGCACCACCUGGAAACACAAUUUCCAAGAUUACCAAGUUGCCUGCAUUGCAAGAUGAUGGGCCUCCGAUUGAUUAUUAUGGCAGGUUUUCUGGCAGGGAUCGGAAUAACAGGCAAGGACCUAGAGAUCGGAGAGGUCUUAGAAGCUCACGGGGUCGGGAUGGUGGUCGAGACUCGGAAAGUGACGACGGUUUAUUUAGGAGUGGUGGCCAGAGUUAUAGAACCGACAACAGUCGGUCGCGAUUUUCAAAAGGCAGUGGAAACGAUUGGCUAAUUGGAGGUAGACAAUCGAGAACCAGGGACAGAAGCUUUGGAGGUUCCUGUUUUAAUUGUGGACGGUCAGGGCACAGGGCAUCAGAAUGCCCAAGCAAGCAAGACUAUUAGUUGUACUGCAAUAUUUCAUCUCCCCAAGUGGGUCUGAGGCUUCUACUGCAUGGCAUUGACUUUGAAUGUUCUUACACAGCCUGUUCCAUAGGCCCCAGGAGAUUCAGAGAUUUAGAGGAAUCAAGUUAUCAACUCUAUACAGCACUCUCUCUGUAGUUGCGAUUUUCAAUUUACCUAAAACUAAAUAUCCUUCUUUAUUGUAUCUCUUGGCACUGAUGAAAUUUCUUAAGAUAGAGAUUUAGUAGCA